UACGUAGGGGGCGAGCGUUGGCCGGAUUUAUUGGGCGUAAAGGGCUCGUAGGCGGUUUGUCACGUCGGGAGUGAAAACUCGGGGCUCAACCCCGAGCCUGCUUCCGAUACGGGCAGACUAGAGGUAUGCAGGGGAGAAUGGAAUUCCUGGUGUGGCGGUGAAAUGCGCAGAUAUCAGGAGGAACACCGGUGGCGAAGGCGGUUCUCUGGGCAUUACCUGACGCUGAGGAGCGAAAGUGUGGGGAGCGAACAGG
rnacentral:rRNA from 1 species